AGAGUAGUUGCUUACCUUAAUGUUGAUGUUGCAGUUUAUGGAAAAGGGUUUCAUGCUUCCUCAACUCCACAGUUAGAUGAACUUAUUUUACAGGCUUCUCAAUUGGUUCCUGAUCCAGACAAUUCAUCCCAAACUGUUUAUGAUGCUUGGCUUCAAUCGAAAUCUAAAGCUGUGUUAGGUAGAUUGGGUGGUGGAGGUUCAGAUUAUAAAGCAUUUGUUCAACACAUUGGUGUUCCUUCUGUUGAUAUGAUUACUGGAGAUGGUAA